AUUGAACGCUGGCGGCAGGCUUAACACAUGCAAGUCGAGCGGAGAUGAGGUGCUUGCACCUUAUCUUAGCGGCGGACGGGUGAGUAACGCUUAGGAAUCUGCCUAUUAGUGGGGGACAACAUUCCGAAAGGAAUGCUAAUACCGCAUACGUCCUACGGGAGAAAGCAGGGGAUCUUCGGACCUUGCGCUAAUAGAUGAGCCUAAGUCGGAUUAGCUAGUUGGUGGGGUACAGGCCUACCAAGGCGACGAUCUGUAGCGGGUCUGAGAGGAUGAUCCGCCACACUGGGACUGAGACACGGCCCAGACUCCUACGGGAGGCAGCAGUGGGGAAUAUUGGACAAUGGGGGGAACCCUGAUCCAGCCAUGCCGCGUGUGUGAAGAAGGCCUUAUGGUUGUAAAGCACUUUAAGCGAGGAGGAGGCUACUGAGACUAAUACUCUUGGAUAGUGGACGUUACUCGUAGAAUAAGCACCGGCUAACUCUGUGCCAGCCGCCGCCGUAAAAC
rnacentral:rRNA from 1 species